GGUGGGGUCUGAAAACGAUGUGCCGGGAGUUCGCUGUUCUCGCCGCCUUGAUCUCCCGGUCAGCUGUCGAGCGGAUGUAGAACUGGAAGCAGUCCAAACUCCCAUUCUGACCCUUUGGAAUAGCACAUGAACAUAACGUGCUGGAUCUCCUCCACUAUAGCAAAAGGUCACAGCUGGAGACUCCCUCCUACUCCCCCUCAACAGGAAAGCUGGAUCAGUUUGACACAAAAGCUGAUGUCUGCUCUUAAGAUCACAUGUGAGAUCUGCUUACAUUUUUGGCCACUCCCAAUAGAGUGUGUGUGGGUGUGAGUAGCUGUGCCCUCCCUGUUUGCUGCUGAG